UAGGGAAUAUUAGAAAUGGACGAAAGUCUGACGGAGCGACGCCGCGUGGAUGAAGAAGGCCGCAAGGUUGUAAAAUCCUUUUGCUGGGGAAGAAUAAGUCCAGGAGGGAAUGCCUGGAUGAUGACAUGAACCGGCGAAUAAGCCCCGGCCAACUACGUGCCAGCAGCCGCGGUAACACGUAGGGGGCAAGCGUUGUUCGGAAUUACUGGGCGUAAAGGGCAUGUAGGCGGUUUAGUAAGCUUGGCGUGAAAGACCACAGCUCAACUGUGGGGUUGCGUUGAGAACUGCUGAACUUGAGUUACGGAGAGGGAGCUAGAAUUCCUGGUGUAGGGGUGGAAUCUGUAGAGAUCAGGAAGAAUACCGAUGGCGAAGGCAAGCUUCUGGUCGAUAACUGACGCUGAGGUGCGAAAGUGUGGGGAUCAAACA
rnacentral:rRNA from 1 species